rnacentral:rRNA from 1 species
AACGUAGGUGGCGAGCGUUAUCCGGAUUCAUUGGGCGUAAAGAGCUUGUAGGCGGCGUCAUAAGUUGGACGUGAAAACUCCGGGCUUAACUUGGAGAGGCCGUUCAAUACUGUGAGGCUAGAGGGUGUCAGAGGGAAGUAGAAUUCCUGGUGUAGCAGUGAAAUGCGUAGAUAUCAGGAGGAAUACCCGUGGCGAAGGCGGCUUCCUGGGGCACCACUGACGCUGAGAAGCGAAAGCUAGGGGAGCAAACGGG